UGGACAACCCGAUCCAUGGUGGACCGGGGUACAGGCCCAGGCGCUGCGCCUGGGCCUGGGCUGGCCUGCGCAUGCGGGCCUAGGCCAUGCCCGCACCGGGUGCCUGGGCUCGGGCCCGCACGUGGGCUGGGCCGCACGCCCGACUAGGCCACACGCCUGGGCCGUGUGCCUGGGCCGCACACCUGGACUGCAUGCCCCGCACGUUGGUCCCGCCUUGGCCGC
rnacentral:lncRNA from 1 species